UUUGGGGUUGCUGAACUUAGGACAAAAUCUUGUAAAGGUAUAUAAGCUUUGCGGAGUUGUUUUUUGUUAAGACACCUUGGUAACAUAACGUUUACUUUUACAGGAGAUCAACAUCUGACCCUUGAAGAAUUCGCCGCUGGAACACAUCCCGGUUCACCCCCUCUUGAAGUCGAGAAAGCUUUUAAAAUCUUCGACAAAAUGGACGGACAUGAAAAAGGCUUCAUAAGUCCGUCUUCUGCUGAAGCCCUUUUCAAAAGACUGGACAGCAACAACGACGGAAAACUCACACGUGAAGAGAUCGAACAGGAAUUUUCUGCUGCUCUUCAAGAAUUACAAGCACAGGCCUAGGUGAACUACUAAGUGACAGCCUGGUGUGACCCCUGCAUGAAGAGACUAUUAAAUCUUCAACUUUCUAAC